UCGAGAAUCAUUCGCAAUGGGCGAAAGCCUGACGAUGCGACGCCGCGUGAGUGAAGAAGGCCUUCGGGUUGUAAAGCUCUUUCGCUUGGGAACAAGAGAGGUACAUAAAUAAUGUGCCGAUUUGAGGGUACCAGGUAAAGAAGCACCGGCUAACUCCGUGCCAGCAGCUGCGGUAAUACGGAGGGUGCAAGCGUUAAUCGGAUUUAUUGGGCGUAAAGGGCGUGUAGGCGGGAAGCUAAGUCAGAUGUGAAAUCCCGGGGCUCAACCUCGGAACUGCAUAUGAGACUGGUUUUCUUGAGGAUAGGCGGAGAAAAUGGAAUUCCACAAGUAGCGGUGAAAUGCGUAGAUAUGUGGAAGAACACCUGUGGCGAAGGCGAUUUUCUAGCUUAGACCUGACGCUGAGGCGCGAAAGCAAGGGGAGCAAACAGGAUUAGAUACCCAGGUAGUCCCUGAGCGGGCUGGCAAGGCGCAU
rnacentral:rRNA from 1 species